GACGAACCGUCCAAACGUUAUUCGGAAUUACUGGGCUUAAAGGGUGCGUAGGCGGCGCGGAAAGUUGGGUGUGAAAUCCCUCGGCUUAACCGAGGAACUGCGCCCAAAACUACCGUGCUCGAGGGAGAUAGAGGUGAGCGGAACUUAGGGUGGAGCGGUGAAAUGCGUUGAUAUCCUAAGGAACACCGGUGGCGAAAGCGGCUCACUGGAUCUCUUCUGACGCUGAGGCACGAAAGCUAGGGUAGCGAACGGG
rnacentral:rRNA from 1 species